AACGGCCAUACCAUGCUGAAUAUACCGGUUCUCGUUAGAUCACCGAAGUCAAGCAUCAUUGGGCGCGGUCAGUACUUGGGUGGGUGACCACCUGGGAACACCGCGUGCCGUAG